GAAGUACUCCCUCCGCCCGGAAAUACUUGUCGGAGAAAUGGAUAUAUCUAGAUGUAUUUUAGUUCUACAUACAUCAAUUUUUAUUCAUUUCUAUGACAAGUAUUUCCCGACGGAGGGAGUAUAUG
rnacentral:pre_miRNA from 1 species